rnacentral:tRNA from 1 species
GGAUUUAGCUCAGUGGUAGAGCGCUUGCCUAGGAAGCGCAAGGCCCUGGGUUCGGUUCCCAGCUCCG